AAUUCUUCAUAAAAUUUCCAAAAUUUUGACACACAUAUAGGCUAGGUUCUGACAAUUUUGAUUUUC
ensembl:ncRNA Y17D7A.5 ncRNA